AUGCAAAACAAAAAUAGAAAGAGGAUUAGGGUUCAAAACUCUGUGACGAUUCAGUUUCCCGAUAUCUUAAUCUUCUUCCUCUUUGCAACCAAACCACCGCGCAGCUCACCCCCUUCUUCAAUCAUUGAACACUAUCGUGGUCACGUCACUGUAAGAUGUUGUGACCACCACCUCUGCGGCGCGCUCAUCUUGUCCUUUUCCCAUCUCACACGGCCCUCUCACUCUUCUACUUCCUCAUCAUCGAUUGACCUCUGCCUCAAUCGUUCACAGUGCCGCUGUAGAAUGAUCACAUUUGUUCUUUUCUCUUAUCUAUUCACGAUUUUAGUGCUCAUCAUUGUUUCGUACGAUUCUCAAUUUUGA